rnacentral:lncRNA from 1 species
GUUGACCUCUGGUUCAGUUGCUGAUCUGAUGGCCGCAUCAAGGACCCUAUAAGGUAAUCGAGGUGCGGAGAGCAGGAGCCUACAGGCUACAAGAUAGCAAAGGUAAAAUACAACUCAGCUGCUGGAACGCCCUGCACCUCAAAGCCUAUCAUUUUUAAUAUGGUCUCCGGACCAUGAUUUCUACUAUCUUACUAUACUAUUUAAGCAUUAUGAUUUACUACUCCUAUGUACGCUAAACGUCUCCGGACAAAGCUUAUAAUAAAAAUAGUUCCGACUAUAAG